rnacentral:lncRNA from 1 species
CGCGUCCCACCGCUCCGGUGCCCCCAAGGCCUCUUUAACCCUUCAGGGCCUGGCACCGGGGCGGGGGGUGCCCUAGACGGCGUGAUCCCCAGCGGACCAGCGAAUCUGGGCGUGAUGGGCGCUGCUGACCUGAUGCGUCGCCGCGGGGCGCUGAUCGCUGGCACCGUGGGAGUGUGGGAGGGAGUUGUGCGUGUCGGUGUUGGGGUUAGGAGUGUGAUUCACAGGGGAGCUUGGAGACUGUGGGGGAGGGGAGCUCGCCAUGAGACCCCUAGCGGCUAGGCAGCAAGGAUUGCGUGACCUGUGCUGUGCUUGGUCGUUCAGUCGUGUCCGACUCUUCGUGAACCCUAUGAACUGUAGCUCGCCAGGCUCCGCUGUCCAUGGGGCUUCUCCAAGCAAAAAUACUGGAGUGGGUUGCCAUGCUCUCCUCCAGGGGAUCUUCCCCACCCAGGGAUCCAACCCAGAGUCUGCCACAUCGCUGGCGGAUUCUUUGCCGUCUGAGCCACCCUGGGAAGCUUAAGGGACUUCGUUUUCUCUUCUGUCAAUCCAAGUCUCCCCAGCCCUCAAGUCAUUCUCCUAUCUUCGGAGGAAAUCUUGAGCACCAGUGGCCCGGCCCUCCCCCAACCCCACCCCAUGGGUGCAGAAGUGGGACCGGCCUCCCCAGGGUACCCCAUGCAGGGCAACCCCUUGGAGCCAGAGGGGCGUUCAGUUUGACGCGCCCCCAGGAUACCCCACAGGUGAAAGCCCCAGCUCGAGGCCUUUACCCGCCCUCCUCCCCAAGUCCCAGUAAAAGGGACGGUUCAGGGGACAGUCUCGGUGAAACCGAGGUUUAAACUCUGAGCCUGCCUUCCUUUCCGGCUUUCGGAGGUACCCCCAAUCCAAUCCCACUCUGUCCUCUCCUUUGCCUCGACGCCAAAGUCCUUAGCACCAGCCCGGCAUGUACACGGUCCGGCGAGGGGCCGAGGGCUCUGCGCUCCAGGGCCUGGGCAGCAGAGAGGAGACCGGGGGUCAGGGGCCAAGGGGACGGAGCCUGAACUCCGGGUCCUCUCUGGGCAUUGCCCCGCGCGUGCCCUUGGCAGUGCAGCUUGGUCACGCUCGCUGAAUACUUUCCAGUCUCUGUCCGGAACGCUCCGGGGACUUUGGUUUGCACCUAGAGCUCCUUUUGUGUUCUCUGGAAGCGCGGCCCCUCUCCCCUUACCCCUCACUCCUUCCUUGAAGCACCUGGUUCCCGGAGCCGACAGCAGCCCCUCUGCCCUGCGCCCCUCUUCCGCAGCUCCCGGCGGAGAACCGACUGUCCGCAGGCCGUGGCAACCCCCUAUAUGUCCACCAGAUGGCGCUCCAGGCCAGGGGCCGAACGGCGGCCGGACAGCCCGCCCCGGGACUGGAGCCUACCUUGGACCCAGAGCCGCGGCAGGAUCCGCUCCGAGACUGGGCCGCAGGCCCAGGGGGUGGGCGCAGGCCGCUGAGAGAUCGAGGCGCUCCGCGCACCCGAAGGAAACUCCAGACAGAGGAGGCAGACACAAGGAUGGGACUGCCCGAGGCUCGGGAUGGGGUCCUGAGCACUUCCGGAACCGGCUGGCUCCAGCUGCCUCCAGCAUCCUUGUGGGAUGUGGUUCCUCCCCCCAUCCAAGCCGGAUUGCACCUUGGUACAAGCUGCGGCAGAGGCGUAGCUUGAUGGAGGGUAGAUUGGGCAGCCAGCACCGCGGUUUAUUCACUGACUGUGACUUCUUCAAAAGAGACAAGGGGAUACUCAUGGAGGACAUUCAGGUACUCAUGUUUAAGGGUGCCUCUCAGACCUGGGAUACCCAACUGGGCUAAUUCCUUAGCUGGAGGAAGGCUUGGGGUGGGGGGUGGGGAGCAAGCAGUCAAGGCACCUUUGUGUAUGGGCUUUCACUGAAAGUGAAGUAUUAAUCACUCAGUCCUGUCUGACUCUUUGUAACCCCAUGGACUGUAGCCCACCAGGACAGAAUUCCUCUGUCCAUAGAAUUCUCCAGACAAGAAUACUGGAGUGGGCUGCCAUUCCCUUCUCCAGGGAAUCUUCCCAAUCCAGGAAUCAAACCCAGGUCUCCUGCAUUGCAGGCGGAUUCUUUGCCAUCUGAGGCACCAGGGAAGCCCCCUUUUCUUUUUACUAUUUUUUUUUUUCAUUGGCAGGGUGUUCAUGAUGAAUCCCCAUUUCACAGCCGAUGACAGUGAGGUUCAGGGAGGUGACGUGACGUGCCCCCAAGCCAUCCAGUAAAUAAAGAAGAGUUCUUUCACA